GGUGGCUCAGUGGUAGAGUGCUUGCCUUGCAUGCAGGAGGUCCUGGGUUCAAUUCCUCAGCACCA
rnacentral:tRNA from 1 species